rnacentral:rRNA from 1 species
CUGGAUGAACGCUAGCUACAGGCUUAACACAUGCAAGUCGAGGGUCAGCAUGGUCUUAGCUUGCUAAGGCCGAUGGCGACCGGCGCACGGGUGAGUAACGCGUAUCCAACCUGCCUUACACUCUUGGACAGCCUUCUGAAAGGGAGAUUAAUACAAGAUGUUAUCAUGAGUAAGCAUUUUCGCAUGAUUAAAGGUUUACCGGUGUAAGAUGGGGAUGCGUUCCAUUAGAUAGUAGGCGGGGUAACGGCCCACCUAGUCUUCGAUGGAUAGGGGUUCUGAGAGGAAGGUCCCCCACAUUGGAACUGAGACACGGUCCAAACUCCUACGGGAGGCAGCAGUGAGGAAUAUUGGUCAAUGGACGAGAGUCUGAACCAGCCAAGUAGCGUGAAGGAUGAAGGUUCUAUGGAUUGUAAACUUCUUUUAUACGGGAAUAAACGAAUCCACGCGUGGAUUUUUGCAUGUACCGUAUGAAUAAGGAUCGGCUAACUCCGUGCCAGCAGCCGCGGUAAUACGGAGGAUCCGAGCGUUAUCCGGAUUUAUUGGGUUUAAAGGGAGCGUAGAUGGGUUGUUAAGUCAGUUGUGAAAGUUUGCGGCUCAACCGUAAAAUUGCAAUUGAUACUGGCAGUCUUGAGUACAGUUGAGGUAGGCGGAAUUCGUGGUGUAGCGGUGAAAUGCUUAGAUAUCACGAAGAACUCCGAUUGCGAAGGCAGCUUACUAACCUGUAACUGACAUUGAUGCUCGAAAGUGUGGGUAUCAAACAGGAUUAGAUACCCUGGUAGUCCACACGGUAAACGAUGAAUACUCGCUGUAGGCGAUAUACAGUCUGCGGCCAAGCGAAAGCAUUAAGUAUUCCACCUGGGGAGUACGCCGGCAACGGUGAAACUCAAAGGAAUUGACGGGGGCCCGCACAAGCGGAGGAACAUGUGGUUUAAUUCGAUGAUACGCGAGGAACCUUACCCGGGCUUAAAUUGCAACCGAAUAUGGCGGAAACGCUAUAGCUAGCAAUAGCGGUUGUGAAGGUGCUGCAUGGUUGUCGUCAGCUCGUGCCGUGAGGUGUCGGCUUAAGUGCCAUAACGAGCGCAACCCUUGCCGAUAGUUACUAACAGGUUAUGCUGAGGACUCUGUCGGGACUGCCAUCGUAAGAUGUGAGGAAGGUGGGGAUGACGUCAAAUCAGCACGGCCCUUACGUCCGGGGCUACACACGUGUUACAAUGGGGGGUACAGAGGGCUGCUACCACGCAAGUGGAUGCCAAUCCCAAAAACCUCUCUCAGUUCGGAUUGAAGUCUGCAACCCGACUUCAUGAAGCUGGAUUCGCUAGUAAUCGCGCAUCAGCCACGGCGCGGUGAAUACGUUCCCGGGCCUUGUACACACCGCCCGUCAAGCCAUGGGAGCCGGGGGUACCUGAAGUGCGUAACCGCAAGGAGCGCCCUAGGGUAA